AUGGUGAGGAUACAAGAAUGCAUUACCAAGUGUUUGAAAUGGUCAGGAAUCAUAUGUCCAAACAUAUUUAAGAAACUAAAGCAGAAUAUAGCAAGAUCUGGAAAUUGUCAUGUGCUCUGGAAUGGAAGAGAUGGGUUUGAGGUGUUAGAGCAUGAUAAAUACAAGUACAUUGUGAAUUUGCAAACUAGGGUUUGUUCUUGUAGAUAUUGGCAGCUAUCUGGUCUACCCUGCUGCCAUGCAAUAAGCUGCAUCUACAAGAGCUCACAACAGUUGAAUGCAUACAUAGCUGAGUGUUAUUCCAUUAAGACUUACAAGAAAAUUUACUCUCAUGUGUUGGAGCCAUUGGAAGGUCAAUCAAAUUGGCCGGUUGCUGAUCAUGUGAGGCCCCAAGCACCUGGUUACAUCAAAAUGCCAGGCAGGCCAAGGAAAGAAAGGAAAAGAGAAGAAGGAGAAGCACCAAAAGGGAUAAAAAUGAGUAAGGUGGGUGGACAAAUCACCUGCAGUUCAUGCAAUAGGACUGGCCAUAACAUGUCAAGUUGCAAAAAUAAUGUUGCUGCAACUAAGCAUCAUGGAAAUGCACAUAUUGUCAGACAAAGGUCUGGGAAAAGGAAACUGCAGAAAGAAGCCUAUGAGGCAGAAACUUCAAAGAAAUCAAAGGUAAUGUGGUGA
rnacentral:rRNA from 1 species